GAUCCUGGCUCAGGAUGAACGCUAGCUACAGGCUUAACACAUGCAAGUCGAGGGGCAGCAUGGUCUUAGCUUGCUAAGACUGGUGGCGACCGGCGCACGGGUGAGUAACACGUAUCCAACCUGCCGUCUACUCUUGGACAGCCUUCUGAAAGGAAGAUUAAUACAAGAUGGCAUCAUGAGUCCGCAUGUUCACAUGAUUAAAGGUAUUCCGGUGGACGAUGGGGA
rnacentral:rRNA from 1 species